rnacentral:ncRNA from 17 species
GGUUAGAGUGAGCGGCACUGGCUUCGUUCUGAGAAAUACGGUCAUAACUUGAUCUGGAUAAUACCAGCGAAAGGACAUGCUCUUGCUCUCGU